CUUAUCCUGUUACAUAAUUAUCAAAUAAAACAGUAAUUCCAGAAUAAGUAAUAGCAGUCACACAGAGUACUGCAUGGUUAGACAUUUUCCUCUUGGUUGGAAGACAUUAGGGUAUAAUAUCUAACAAAGAAUUUCUCUGAAUAUCUAAGCAGUGAACUAAUAACCAGAGCGGUGUCUGAAAACCAGUCCGCAGCCAGUCGAGAGGGCCUUGCUCUCGUGAUCUUGCAUGCUUCACAGUUCCACGAAAAAAACCCAGAACUGUCAGUCGAAAGACAGUUUUAAGAUGGUGUUUUUGCUCUAAUCUUUUGGUUUGGGGAGGCUUCCUUUAUAAAAUCCAAAGUCCUUAAGAGAGUGAAUUUGGCACUGCGCCAAAGGCUUCUCUGGCUUCUCAGGCAAGGAUCCGGGUGUUCUUUUUCUUCCAGCGCUGUGAUGGGCACACUAGGAGCAGCUCCUUGCUGAGCCCUGGGGCUCCUGCAGAUGAGGACAGCAGGGGACCAGGCAGAUGGCCAAGACGACAGUGAGGAGAGCAGAGCCCACAGCCGGCUGCGGUGGACAGUCUGCCGCAGAGGGCAGGCAGACGCAGGGGUCAGCUCAGGGGUCAGCUCUGAGCCCCCGGGGUGCUCCCAGAGGCCUUCCUUCCGGAUUAGUGCCACUGUCCUUCAGGCUGAGCAAAAUGGAUCGUUUCAGUGUCACUCCCCAGUCAGUCAAUUCCCAUCAGGAUCUGGAGGUGCCGAGGAGGCGGGCCGUCAGCCGGGACUCACUUUGCAGCACAUAAUGCCCAGGUCCUGCGAGGAAGGAGUGGGAAGGAGCAGGAAAUUGGACUUAAGUCGCCUCCAGAUCAACACAGAGUUCAAUCCUGGUUGGUGUUUGUUUAUAAAAUAACUCUCCAACUCAUUCACACUCUGUUUCCCGGUUAACCUCUGGGACACAUGGCGCGCAGCCUACCAAGGAGAUUUUCUGGGGUUGUUCGUGAAAGUGCUGAGUUCAACACCAACAGAAAGGAAUUUGGGGUCAGAAUGACUAUUUUAAACUGAGGCCUUUGGGAUUUAGAAAAGAUGUUUCUGAUAUGCUAAACCAGCUGGAAGAGCCUCUGAGACCUCCAAUGCAAGCGAGGGUUUCCUUCGUGUGUGUGACAGGUGAGGACAACCAGGUCUGGGAGGCGGGCCGACUGCCUCCUGCGCCUUCAGAAUCUGAGCUAACUCCUUGCAGUCCCUGAGCACAGAAGUACCGAAAGGGAGAGCAAAUCCCUGCACACUCCAGACCACUCCCACGGUGAAGUUGCACUUGGUGGGGGGAUCCCCUGUCUCUCCCUGCUCCAGCUGAGGCGGUUUCAGUCUUCACCAGAUAAAAAGAGACAUUCAAGGUCAUUAGCCCAAUUUUUCUCUGUGAGGGUGGAGCUGGGAUUGGCUACAGAGCUAUUCUGAUGACCCAGAAAUUACAUGUACUCAUUUCUUUCUUUUUAGAUAAAAGCAUUUCUAUUCCAGUUUUUCUAUGGCUCCUUUUCAAGAGAAGAGGGGGGGAAAAAGUCCCACAUCUUUGCUAGCAGACUCUCCUUUUUCUGUGUGCAGUCUUUUAUAAUCUAUCUUGAUUCUCCGCCAAUACCAUACUUUUUUUUUUUGUACUUUAUGUCUUUUAAUCACCUAAGGAAUCUGACUCAGUGUCCUUCCCUCUGGAUCACAGGCUACUCUUCCUUUAUCUGUAUCUCCCAGGAGGAGAGGGAGAGGCUACAAACCUUUUUUUCCUAUGUUGGCUCCUGCCCUGACAAUAUAACUUCCUUCUCUCUUAGCCCUUUUUGGGACUGCUGUUCCAUCCUGAGCUUGACUGUAAGGCAUUAUUUUUAUGUAACAACAGGAAACUCUCUUAAGAACUUAUUAUUAAAACAAGUGAAGAAGCUCUCAUAUAUAUGUGUACACAAAUGUGUGUGUGAAUAGAUAUAACUACAUAAAUGUAUAUCAUAGAAGAUAUGGAAAACCUUUUCAUUUUAGGUUUUCUUUUUUUAAGAGCCAAAAUUAAAAAAAAAUAUGUACGAGCAUUCACUAGAUCCUUUUUAAUAGUUUUUCUUUGCGGGAGGGAUAAGCAAUUAUGUGAUCAAAUAUUUUCUGCUUGGGUCAUAGCACACUGAGAGCCAUGUUCAUAAACACCCACACUUUAUAGGUUUUGGUAUGAUAGAAGUAAAAUAGAGAGAGUUAUAAUGGAAAAUGAAUUAACAAUCACUAACACACGAUGAAAGCCAUUCAACCAUGAAAAACGUCAAAGGAAGGUCUAGGACCAAACCUAGUCCCAUUUUAGUCCUUGAUUAUGGUUUGACUAUAAGCUUCAGGUUUGUGGGCAGAUUUCUUUUGGGACAGAAACUUUUUCUACUCAAGUACCAAUAUUUUUUUCUUAAAAAAUAAUUUCUCUGUUUCCCCCACAUUCAAACACAUUCAGUUUUGACAAAUGCCUGAAGGUUUAUAUAAGAUAAUGAAUUUGACAAGUCCUAGUCUCCUUUAAGUUGGCAUUUGUAGCUUCUCUGACAGUGCCAGGUACUGGCUUAUGUUGGAAUGUUAUGCUGCUUUUAAUUUUCUAAAAAAUACAUUAAGUGGGAUCCCUGGGUGGCGCAGCGGUUUGGCGCCUGCCUUUGGCCCAGGGCGCGAUCCUGGAGACCCGGGAUCGAAUCCCACAUCAGGCUCCCGGUGCAUGGAGCCUGCUUCUCCCUCUGCCUGUGUCUCUGCCUCUCUCUCUCUCUCUCUCUCUCUCUCCCUCUCUGUGACUAUCAUAAAUAAAUAAAAAUUUUAAAAAAAUACA
rnacentral:lncRNA from 1 species